GUGGGGAAUAUUGGACAAUGGGGGCAACCCUGAUCCAGCAAUGCCGCGUGUGUGAAGAAGGUCUUCGGAUUGUAAAGCACUUUCGACGGGGACGAUGAUGACGGUACCCGUAGAAGAAGCCCCGGCUAACUUCGUGCCAGCAGCCGCGGUAAUACGAAGGGGGCUAGCGUUGCUCGGAAUGACUGGGCGUAAAGGGCGCGUAGGCGGCAUGCACAGUCAGAUGUGAAAUUCCUGGGCUUAACCUGGGGGCUGCAUUUGAUACGUGUGAGCUAGAAUGUGAAAGAGGGUCGUGGAAUUCCCAGUGUAGAGGUGAAAUUCGUAGAUAUUGGGAAGAACACCGGUGGCGAAGGCGGCGACCUGGUUCAUGAUUGACGCUGAGGCGCGAAAGCGUGGGGAGCAAACAGG
rnacentral:rRNA from 1 species